rnacentral:rRNA from 1 species
CCUACGGGAGGCAGCAGUGGGGAAUAUUGGGCAAUGGGCGCAAGCCUGACCCAGCAACGCCGCGUGAGGGAAGAAGGUUUUCGGAUUGUAAACCUCUGUCGCAGAUGACGAAGGAAGUGACGGUAAUCUGUGAGGAAGCCCCGGCUAACUACGUGCCAGCAGCCGCGGUAAUACGUAGGGGGCGAGCGUUGUCCGGAAUUACUGGGCGUAAAGGGAGCGUAGGCGGCCGAUUAAGUUGGAUGUGAAAUCCCCGGGCUUAACUUGGGUGGUGCAUCCAAUACUGGUUGGCUAGAGUACAGGAGAGGAAAGCGGAAUUCCUGGUGUAGCGGUGAAAUGCAUAGAUAUCAGGAGGAACAUCGGUGGCGAAGGCGGCUUUCUGGACUGACACUGACGCUGAGGCUCGAAAGCGUGGGGAGCAAACAGGAUUAGAUACCCGAGUAGUC